CCUUACUUGUAUGGAAACACCAGUUCCUGUAUGACCACCAAAAUUGAGCAAUGUAGAGCCUAGUCACUACCUAGAUGGGUGACUGCUUGGGAAUACCAGGUGCUGUAAG